GAUGAACGCUGGCGGCGUGCUUAACACAUGCAAGUCGAACGAAGCACUUAAUGAGAUUUCUUCGGAUUGAUUAUUUUGUGACUGAGUGGCGGACGGGUGAGUAACGCGUGGGUAACCUGCCCCAGACCGGGGGAUAACAGUCGGAAACGACUGCUAAUACCGCAUAAGCGCACAGUGCCGCAUGGCACAGUGUGAAAAACUCCGGUGGUCUGGGAUGGACCCGCGUCCGAUUAGUUAGUUGGCGGGGUAACGGCCCACCAAGACCGCGAUCGGUAGCCGACCUGAGAGGGUGACCGGCCACAUUGGGACUGAGACACGGCCCAGACUCCUACGGGAGGCAGCAGUGGGGAAUAUUGCACAAUGGAGGAAACUCUGAUGCAGCGACGCCGCGUGAGCGAAGAAGUAUUUCGGUAUGUAAAGCUCUGUCAGCAGGGAAGAUAAUGACGGUACCUGACCAAGAAGCCCCGGCUAACUACGUGCCAGCAGCCGCGGU
rnacentral:rRNA from 1 species